GCCUGGGGGCACACAAGAACACCUGGGGAGGCUGCUCACUCUCUGCCUCCCUGGCCCCAAACUGGGGCUUCUCUUGGCAAGCCCCCAGACUCAUUCACUCCAACAGGCCAGGACAAGGGCACAGGCAGACCAGUGACCCCCUCCAUAUAGGAUCUGGUGGUUCUAGCUCCUCAGUUGGCCCCUAAUGCCUGCAGGAGCUGGGUCCAAGUACACUCCCUCCACCCAGCCCACCCCCACUGCCCUGGCCAGGCACUGCUUGCUGGGGUCCCCCAGCCCACCCCCACUGCCCUGGCCAGGCACUGCUUGCUGGGGUCAUGGCUUUGCACUCACUGUCCCUGGUGUCAGGAAUGUCUUCCCCCUUCUCCUGUUUCCCCUGCAGGGAUUGGGCACCUGCCCUAGGCUCUAUCCCACCACAUCCCAUGUUCCCCAUAUGGUCCCCGCAUUUCCACACCACCCUCUCCCCCAGAGAGCCUGGGGGCUCAGCCAGGAGAGGGAGCUGCUGGCUGGCGGGCACCAACUCAC
rnacentral:lncRNA from 1 species